AUCCGUCUGAUGAGUCCCAAAUAGGACGUAACGCGCGUCCCGGAU
rnacentral:hammerhead_ribozyme from 1 species